GCUAAUGUGGGACAACAGUUACGUGCAGACUGCACAGGCUAAUGUGGGACAACAGUUACGUGCAGACUGCACAGGCUAAUUUGGGACAACAUUUACGGCACAUAAAUUAAGCCAAAUUUUCAAAGAAAGCAGGUUAUAUAACAGCCAAUAGCUCGUCAUAAGCAAUAUUAUUGCAUAUAGUGUUGUACAUAUGGUUUGAACCUUCUGAAUUAUUAAAUUUGCUAUGUUUAGCAACAUUUAAUAGGCUUGUGUAUUAGUCAUAUAAAGUGUGGUGCUAGAUUAGAUAUUAAGUGUUGCAUAUUGUAGGUAUAUGCAGGAGUGUUAAUUUGUAUUUUUAUUGGCUUUAUCAUGCUUCAUAAAUGUUAAUUUUAAGUUAACAUAAGUAUUUAUAUGAUACUGAACUUACUUUGCUAGACAUUUUUAUAACAGAUAUUCAGCCAUGGGUAUAGGUUAAUGCAUUAUGCUGGUAUCCUAGCUUUAUUUCUACCUUUACUUUUAACCAUUCCAAUGGCUUUUCCAACAUGAUGCUUCCAAAGUAUUUAGAUUUUAUAUCACACUUUUUCUUAAUGCUUUAUAAAUAUAUAUUACCUGAGCACAACAUUUUAGUAGUGAACUUAGAGGUUUCCAUUUUUCUUUCCUUUGUUAUUGACCAUAUGAAAUGCUAUUGAAGCCACAUUUACUGCUAAAUUGUUAUGAAAAUUGGUUAAGUUUGAAACUAGGACAUUUAGUGUCAGAAAUAGGUCUUUAUGUCAAGUGGAAGGAAAACCUUGUGAGCACUUUAAAACAAAAAUUCUCUCUAAAAAUAUGAAACUCUUGUGUAAUUCAUAAUCAAGUACGUAAAUGGUUCUGCAUGGGUUCAUCAGGGAGUUGGGCAGUUUUCUCAAUAUGCUUAUAGACCAGGUCUUGUGAUCAUUUUUUGCCAAAACUAUAAAAAAAACUUGUUAUUAAAAUUGUUCUCAAUGACUGAGCUUGCAAAAAAUUCAUCUCUUUUGAAAAUAAAUGCUUCUGGGUUCUUCAAUGUCUUUCUUUUGAUAAAUUAAAACUUAAAAAACACUAGAAUCCACAUUUAUUUUAAAUCUAAAAAAAAUUUGAACAUUUGUUGUUCUGAUUCCAUAGCACAUUCUGAAACUGUGAAAUGUUGGUUUAAAAAUGAAUUCUUCAGUCAAGAUAAAAACAACACCACUGGGAACAUAAUGAAUUGCACAUUUUUUACCAAUCAACAUGACACUUGGUCAAGCAUUUUUCUCAAUAAUAUCUUGGCAAUGGACUUGCAUAAGUUAGUAAAAUAACAUAUUAUAAACCCUGUUAUUAAUGAUAUAAAAUAUUUUAUUAACAAGAGCAAAGGUGAGCGCUCUCUGUCCUCUUGUUUUAGUUUAUUGUUUUCUGUUUGUCUAUUAUUUUAUUAAGCAGUAGCCAAUUAUGCAUGAAGAAAAACCUUGACAUUUGGGAAAUAUGUGUGGAGAAAUCUUCAGAUCGGUAAUUAUAACCUAUCUAACUUUCACAUGCUUUUUUUGCUAAAAUUCUCAGUUUCAGUGCCGUUUUUAUUUUUCCACUUGCAGAUAUUACCCUUUAAGAACGAAAUCGAUGCAUUUUUUCUUUCUUUUUGAAAUUAUUCAGUGGUCAGUUUUUCCUUUAUUGGGAAAUUGCUUUGUACUUGUAUUUUAUAAAGAAAGUAACAAAUCGCUGUACAUAUAUGUGUCUGUUAAUUUUAUAUUGUAUCUUUAUGGUGAGCAACAAAAGCAUAAAUUAGUUUCUAAAUAAAAGUUAUAUUGGUUUCUAAAAUAACUGCUACUUAAACCAUGUUUUUAUCUACCCAGUAAAAGUAAGUUCACUGGUUGAAAACUUCAGCUCAAUACAGACAUGAUAAGAAAAUGCACCAUUGUUUAAGAUGGUAAUCUCUGUUAAUGUAUGCACUCCUUUGAAGCAUGGAUAGGAUUGUUUAAUAAAAUACUAUUCCUUUUA